rfam:Hordeum vulgare subsp. vulgare, WGS project CAJW01000000 data, contig: morex_contig_81025
GUAAUACUCCCUCCGUCUCAAAUUAAUUGUCUCAAAGUUUGACAAAAGUGGAUGUAUCUAGACAUAUUUUAGUGUUAGAUACAUCUACUUUUGGCAAACUUUGAGAUAAUUAAUUUGAGACGGAGGGAGUAUGUU